rnacentral:misc_RNA from 1 species
AAGGAUCAUUACCGAGUGCGGGCUCCCUCGCGAGCCCAACCUCCCACCCGUGUUUUUACAGACCCCGUUGCUUCGGCGGGCCCACCGGGAUCCCCGGUCGCCGGGGGGCACUUCGCCCCCGGGCCCGCGCCCGCCGAAGCGCCUAUUGAACCCUGAUGAAGAUGUACUGUCUGAGUCUUAAUGAAAAUUGUCAAAACUUUCAACAAUGGAUCUCUUGGUUCCGGCAUCGAUGAAGAACGCAGCGAAAUGCGAUAAGUAAUGUGAAUUGCAGAAUUCCGUGAAUCAUCGAAUCUUUGAACGCACAUUGCGCCCCCUGGCAUUCCGGGGGGCAUGCCUGUCCGAGCGUCAUUUCUGCCCUCAAGCACGGCUUGUGUGUUGGGUGUGGUCCCCUCCUUUUAGGGGGGACCUGCCCGAAAGGCAGCGGCGACGUCGCGUCGGGUCCUCGAGCGUAUGGGGGCUUUGUCACUCGCUCGGG